rnacentral:rRNA from 1 species
AACGCGAAGAACCUUACCCGGUCUUGACAUGCAGUGGAAGUAAGUAGAAAUAUUUACGCCUUUCGGGGCCGCUGCACAGGUGCUGCAUGGCUGUCGUCAGCUCGUGCCGUGAGGUGUUGGGUUAAGUCCCGCAACGAGCGCAACCCUUAUCGUUAGUUGCCAACAGGUGAAGCUGGGAACUCUAGCGAGACUGCCUGGGUUAACCAGGAGGAAGGUGAGGAUGACGUCAAGUCCGCAUGGCCCUUAUGACCGGGGCUACACACGUGCUACAAUGGUCGGUACAGAAAGCAGCGAAGCCGCGAGGUGAAGCAAAUCUCAAAAGCCGGCCCCAGUUCAGAUUGUAGUCUGCAACUCGACUACAUGAAGAUGGAAUUGCUAGUAAUGGCAGGUCAGCAACACUGCCGUGAAUACGUUCCCGGGCCUUGUACACACCGGAGUA